GAUGAACGCUGGCGGCGUGCUUAACACAUGCAAGUCGAACGGAAAGGCCCAAGCUUGCUUGGGUACUCGAGUGGCGAACGGGGGAGUAACACGUGGGUGAUCUGCCCUUCACUUCGGGAUAAGCCUGGGAAACUGGGUCUAAUACCGGGUAGGACGAUGGUUUGGAUGCCAUUGUGGAAAGAUUUUUCGGUGUGGUGUGAGCUCGCGACCUAUCAGCUUGUUGGUGGGGUAAUGGCUUACCAAGGCGUCGACGGGUAGCCGGUCGGAGAGGGUGAUCGGCCACACUGGAACUGAGAGACGGUCCAGACUCCUACGGGAGGCAGCAGUAGGGAAUCUGCCGCAAUGGGCGAAAGCCUAACGGAGCAACGCGGCGUGAGUGAUGAAGGUCUUCGGAUCGUAAAACUCGGUUAUGAGGGAAGAACAAAUGUGUAAGUAACUAUGCACGUCGUGACGGUACCUAAUCAGAAAGCCACGGCUAACUACGUG
rnacentral:rRNA from 1 species